GGCCCAGACUCCUACGGGAGGCAGCAGUGGGGAAUAUUGCACAAUGGGCGAAAGCCUGAUGCAGCGACGCCGCGUGGGGGAUGACGGCCUUCGGGUUGUAAACCCCUUUCAGUAGGGAAGAAGCGAGAGUGACGGUACCUGCAGAAGAAGCGCCGGCUAACUACGUGCCAGCAGCCGCGGUAAUACGUAGGGCGCAAGCGUUGUCCGGAAUUAUUGGGCGUAAAGAGCUUGUAGGUGGCUUGUCGCGUCUGCCGUGAAAACCCGAGGCUCAACCUCGGGCGUGCGGUGGGUACGGGCAGGCUAGAGUGUGGUAGGGGAGACUGGAACUCCUGGUGUAGCGGUGAAAUGCGCAGAUAUCAGGAAGAACACCGAUGGCGAAGGCAGGUCUCUGGGCCAUUACUGACACUGAGAAGCGAAAGCAUGGGUAGCGAACAGGAUUAGAUACCCUGGUAGUCCAUGCCGUAAACGUUGGGCACUAGGUGUGGGGGACAUUCCACGUUUUCCGCGCCGUAGCUAACGCAUUAAGUGCCCCGCCUGGGGAGUACGGCCGCAAGGCUAAAACUCAAAGGAAUUGACGGGGGCCCGCACAAGCGGCGGAGCAUGCUGAUUAAUUCGAUGCAACGCGAAGAACCUUACCAAGGCUUGACAUGCACUGGACGGCUGCAGAGAUGUGGCUUUCUUUGGACUGGUGCACAGGUGGUGCAUGGUUGUCGUCAGCUCGUGUCGUGAGAUGUUGGGUUAAGUCCCGCAACGAGCGCAACCCUCGUUCUAUGUUGCCAGCACGUGAUGGUGGGGACUCAUAGGAGACUGCCGGGGUCAACUCGGAGGAAGGUGGGGACGACGUCAAAUCAUCAUGCCCCUUAUGUCUUGGGCUUCAAGCAUGCUACAAUGGUCGGUACAAUGGGUUGCGAAACUGUGAGGUGGAGCGAAUCCCAAAAAGCCGGCCUCAGUUCGGAUUGGGGUCUGCAACUCGACCCCAUGAAGUCGGAGUCGCUAGUAAUCGCAGAUCAGCAACGCUGCGGUGAAUACGUUCCCGGGCCUUGUACACACCGCCCGUCAAGUCACGAAAGUCGGUAACACCCGAAGCCAGUGGCCCAUCCUCGUGAGGGAGCUGUUCUAAG
rnacentral:rRNA from 1 species